rnacentral:tRNA from 1 species
GCCUCCAUAGCUCAGUGGCUAGAGCGCUGGUCUUGUAAACCAGAGGUCAGGAGUUCGAUCCUCCUUAGAGGCA